GGAGGUGAUGGGAGUUGUCACUGCAACAGGACAGAGUUUUCACCCCAGCGCAGAUCUUUCAGGACCAAGUGAAGUAGCCUUCAUCCCAGAGGCAGCAUUCAGUGCAAAGAGAAGCCGCAUGAACUUGCCGGCGCAGGUAAGGGUAAAUGGUGGAGACUGGGAAUCAAAUGACCACUGAGUUGUCCUGUUAGUAUGCAAGAGCUUACUCUCCAGAAUCUCUGUGUAGUUUUGACGCAGCAUCAUGUCAGAGCCUCGUCCUUUGUUCUUUGAGCAUCUCACAGGAACUAACGCACCAUCCUGAAUGCAGCUGGUGCUGAAGAAAUGUCUG
rnacentral:lncRNA from 10 species